UACAUAGGGGGCGAGCGUUGUCCGGAAUGACUGGGCGUAAAGGGAGUGUAGACGGCUUUGUAAGUUAAGAGUGAAAGCCCGCGGCUCAACUGCGGAACUGCUCUUAAAACUGCAUGGCUGGAGUGUAGGAGAGGUAAGCGGAAUUCCUAGUGUAGCGGUGAAAUGCGUAGAUAUUAGGAGGAACACCAGAGGCGAAGGCGGCUUACUGGACUAUAACUGACGUUGAGGCUCGAAAGCGUGGGGAGCGAAC
rnacentral:rRNA from 1 species